UCCAUCUCCCUUCUGGUACUCCUUACAGGUGUGGGUGUGACAGACCAUAGCCAUGGUACCCAAGCAAGGCAUGACGCUGCUGCUGCUCCUUGUCGUCGCCACGGCAGCGGUGAUGGGACAGAGGAGCCAGCGUCGCCCGGCAACCACAGACGAAUGGAACUACAAGGCUGGCUCGGAGAAGGUAAACAUGCGUGGGAGUGUCCAACCUCACCCAGGUUCUGGACAACUGGAGGUUUGACAUCCUCACUGAGAUGAGACACUGCUCCAGAACGACCACCAGUCACUACUGCCAGACUACGCCAGGAUCCAGCCCCUGUCUGAGGCUCUGAAUGACCUUUACAAGGAGUUCAACUCUCUCAAGGCUCACCUUGGUGAUCUCACAGAGAAAUUCGUCGCCAUAGAAACCUUCAUCGACGAGGUCAAGACUGAGCGGGCCAAUGGUGGCACCUUGGCCCCCGCCUCCAACCUAAACCCCGCCUCCAACCCAGUGCCAGCUAGGAGGAGAGUGGUCAAAAAGAAAGCUCCCGCCUCUUAAAUGACUAAAACUCCACCUCAUCCACCUACUAUGCUCUACCCUACCCUACCCCAUCCCAUCUCACUGACCCCAUCCCACUGACCCCAUCCCAUCCUACUGACCCCAUUCACUGACCCCUCACUGACCCCAUCCCAUCCCACUGACCCCAUUCACUGACCCCCUCACUGACCCCAUCCCACUGACCCCAUCCCAUCCUACUGACCCCAUCCCACUGACCCCAUCCCAUCCUACUGACCCCAUCCCAACCUACUGACCCCAUCCCAUCCCACUGACCCCAUCACACUGACCCCAUCCCAUCCUACUGACCCCAUCACACUGACCCCAUCCCAUCACACUGACCCCAUCCCAACCCACUGACCCCAUCCCAUCACACUGACCCCAUCACACUGACCCCAUCCCAUCUCAUCCUACUGACCCCAUCCCAACCUACUGACCCCACCCCACUGACCCCAUCCCAUCCCAUUGACCCCAUCCUACUGACCCCAUCACACUGACCCCAUCACACUGACCCCAUCCCAAUGACCCCAUCCAAUUUACUGACCCCAUCCCAUCCCACUGACCCCAUCCCACUGACCCCAUCCCAUCCCACUGACCCCAUCCCAACCCACUGACCCCAUCCUACUGACCCCCCACUGACCCCAUCCCAUCCCUUAUUCUGUCCAUUUAUAGAUGUAACUCUGGUUUUAUGUGUAACUUUAUAAACAGUUUAGCCCUCUGCUCUGACAUUCUGGGGAUCCAUUCUCUAUUCUGGAUGUGAGAUUAGGCAUUUAUCAGACAAAACCACUCUGAUAGUGAAAUACAUUUAAUUAAUACAUUUUAAACUCACCUGACUGUAGGGAAAGGCAGAGAGAGAGAGAGAGAGAGAGAGAGAGAGAGAGAGAGAGAGAGAGAGAGAGAGAGAGAGAGAGAGAGACAGAGAGAGAGAGACAGAGAGAGAGAGACAGAGAGAGAGAGAGAGAGAGAGAGAGAGAGAGAGACAGAGAGAGAGAGAGAGAGAGAGAGGGAGAGAGCGAGAGAGAGAGAGAGAGACAGAGAGAGAGACAGAGAGAGAGAGAGAGAGAGAGAGAGAGAGAGAGAGAGAAGGAGAGAGAGAGAGAGUGAGAGAGAGAGAAAGAGACAGAGAGAGAGAGAGAGAGAGAGACAGAGAGAGAGAGAGCGAGAGAGCGGGAGAGAGCGAGAGAGAGAGAGAGAGAGAGACAGAGAGAGAGAGACAGAGAGAGAGAGAAAGAGAGAGAGCUACAACUAAGCAUGUUUAAGUGGUCUUAUAAUGGUGAAUUGAAUUUAAUAACCUACAAAUAAAACCUAAUGUUUCUGUAUACAUUGAUGGAGGUAAAUAAAUAUGUUGUUUUUCGCAUCAA